CUCCUCCGUUGCCAUAGCUUUUCCUUCAGCUCCGUCCCUGAAAGAUACCGAGAAAAAUCAAAGAUCUUAGCAAGAGCUAAUGCACAACGAAACUCAUAAAUGUAGGUACCUAUACCCAUUUUACAAGGUGAAGUGCAAACUCUUGAGUUUGUUGUUGUUUUCUGUUUGGAUUCUACGGUUUACAACCAUGCAUUAGUGGCUUAAUACUACUUGGUUUGGGUUCUCCUCCAUAGUGGAUUGGAGCAUGACACACACUAGUUCUUGCUGAAAAAAGUAAAUGUGCAUUGCGUGCUCAAGAAAGGGAAUAUGAGUUAUUUAUUCAGAUGCUUGUGGUAGUGGAGGUUAGGGAUGUAUAAAUGAAGGAAUGACUAGCUAUGGUAGAGAGCAAUGAACAAGAGAAACGUGUGUGCAUAUUCAGUUUGUGUGUACAUUUUUUGUGGAUAU